CAGCCGCCGCGGGAAUACGAAGGGGGCUAGCGUUGUUCGGAUUUACUGGGCGUAAAGCGCACGUAGGCGGACUUUUAAGUCAGGGGUGAAAUCCCGGGGCUCAACCCCGGAACUGCCUUUGAUACUGGAAGUCUUGAGUAUGGUAGAGUUGAGUGGAAUUCCGAGUGUAGAGGUGAAAUUCGUAGAUAUUCGGAGGAACACCAGUGGCGAAGGCGGCUCACUGGACCAUUACUGACGCUGAGGUGCGAAAGCGUGGGGAGCAAACAGGAUUAGAUACCCCCGUAGUCCCUGUCUCUUAUAC
rnacentral:rRNA from 1 species